GACGAACGCUGGCGGCGUGCUUAACACAUGCAAGUCGAACGGUGAAGCGCCUUCCUUUUUGGUGGGUGUGGAUGAGUGGCGAACGGGUGAGUAACACGUGAGUAACCUGCCCCCUUCUUCUGGAUAACCGCAUGAAAGUGUGGCUAAUACGGGAUAUUCUGGGUCUGUCGCAUGAUGGGUCUGGGAAAGAUAUUGUUUCGGUGGGGGAUGGGCUCGCGGCCUAUCAGCUUGUUGGUGGGGUGAUGGCCUACCAAGGCGGUGACGGGUAGCCGGCCUGAGAGGGUGGACGGUCACACUGGGACUGAGACACGGCCCAGACUCCUACGGGAGGCAGCAGUGGGGAAUAUUGCACAAUGGGCGCAAGCCUGACGCAGCGACGCCGCGUGAGGGAUGGAGGCCUGCGGGUUGUGAACCUCUUUCGCCAGUGAAGCAGGCCUGCCUCGUUUGUGGGUGGGUUGACGGUAGCUGGAUAAGAAGCGCCGGCUAACUACGUG
rnacentral:rRNA from 1 species